rnacentral:rRNA from 1 species
AUUAAACGCUGGCGGCAUGCCUUACACAUGCAAGUCGAACGGCAGCACGGGUGCUUGCACCUGGUGGCGAGUGGCGAACGGGUGAGUAAUACAUCGGAACAUGUCCUGUAGUGGGGGAUAGCCCGGCGAAAGCCGGAUUAAUACCGCAUACGAUCUAGGGAUGAAAGCGGGGGACCUUCGGGCCUCGCGCUAUAGGGUUGGCCGAUGGCUGAUUAGCUAGUUGGUGGGGUAAAGGCCUACCAAGGCGACGAUCAGUAGCUGGUCUGAGAGGACGACCAGCCACACUGGGACUGAGACACGGCCCAGACUCCUACGGGAGGCAGCAGUGGGGAAUUUUGGACAAUGGGCGAAAGCCUGAUCCAGCAAUGCCGCGUGUGUGAAGAAGGCCUUCGGGUUGUAAAGCACUUUUGUCCGGAAAGAAAUCCUUGGCUCUAAUACAGUCGGGGGAUGACGGUACCGGAAGAAUAAGCACCGGCUAACUACGUGCCAGCAGCCGCGGUAAUACGUAGGGUGCAAGCGUUAAUCGGAAUUACUGGGCGUAAAGCGUGCGCAGGCGGUUUGCUAAGACCGAUGUGAAAUCCCCGGGCUCAACCUGGGAACUGCAUUGGUGACUGGCAGGCUAGAGUAUGGCAGAGGGGGGUAGAAUUCCACGUGUAGCAGUGAAAUGCGUAGAGAUGUGGAGGAAUACCGAUGGCGAAGGCAGCCCCCUGGGCCAAUACUGACGCUCAUGCACGAAAGCGUGGGGAGCAAACAGG